AGAGUUUGAUCCUGGCUCAGGAUUAACGCUGGCGGCAUGCCUAAUACAUGCAAAUCGAACGAAGUACUUGUACUUAGUGGUGAACGGGUGAGUAACACGUAUCCAAUCUACCCUUAGGUUGGGGAUAACUAGCCGAAAGGUUGGCUAAUACCGAAUAUCAAUAUUACUAUCGCAUGAGAAAAUAUUGAAAGAUCCGUUUGGAUCGCCUUUGGAUGAGGGUGCGGCAUAUCAGAUAGUUGGUGAGGUAACGGCCCACCAAGUCAAUGACGUGUAGCUGUACUGAGAGGUAAAACAGCCACAAUGGGACUGAGACACGGCCCAUACUCCUACGGGAGGCAGCAGUAGGGAAUUUUACACAAUGGGCGAAAGCCUGAUGGAGCAAUGCCGCGUGAAUGAUGAAGGUCUUAUAGAUUGUAAAAUUCUUUUAUUUGGGAAGAAUAGCCAUAAUAGGAAAUGAUUAUGGUUUGACUGUACCAUUUGAAUAAGUAUCGGCUAACUAUGUGCCAGCAGCCGCGGUAAUACAUAGGAUGCAAGCGUUAUCCGGAUUUACUGGGCGUAAAACGAGCGCAGGCGGAUUAGCAAGUUUGGUAUGAAAGACUAUUGCUUAACAAUAGUUUGUAUCAAAAACUGCUAAUCUGGAGUGUAGUAGGGAGUUUUGGAAUUCCAUGUGGAGCGGUGGAAUGCGUAGAUAUAUGGAAGAACACCAGUGGCGAAGGCGAAAACUUAGGCUAUCACUGACGCUUAGGCUCGAAAGUGUGGGGAGCAAAUAGGAUUAGAUACCCUAGUAGUCCACACCGUAAACGAUGGUUAUUAAAUGUUGGUACGAAUUGUAUCAGCGUUGCAGCUAACGCAUUAAAUAACCUGCCUGGGUAGUACAUUCGCAAGAAUGAAACUCAAAGGAAUUGACGG
rnacentral:rRNA from 1 species